GACUUUAGUGGCGGACGGGUGAGUAACGCGUGAGAAUCUGCCUUCAGGAUGGGGACAACAAUUGGAAACGAUUGCUAAUACCCGAUAUGACGAAAGUUGAAAGAUUUAUCGCCUGGAGAUGAGCUCGCGUCAGAUUAGCUAGAUGGUGUGGUAAUGGCGCACCAUGGCGACGAUCUGUAGCUGGUCUGAGAGGAUGAGCAGCCACACUGGGACUGAGACACGGCCCAGACUCCUACGGGAGGCAGCAGUGGGGAAUUUUCCGCAAUGGGCGCAAGCCUGACGGAGCAAUACCGCGUGAGGGAGGAAGGCUCUUGGGUCGUAAACCUCUUUUCUCAGGGAAGAAUACAAUGACGGUACCUGAGGAAUCAGCAUCGGCUAACUCCGUGCCAGCAGCCGCGGUAGUACGGAGGAUGCAAGCGUUAUCCGGAAUGAUUGGGCGUAAAGCGUCCGUAGGUGGUUAUGUAAGUCUGUGGUUAAAGCGUGGGGCUCAACCCCAUAAAGGCCAUGGAAACUACACAACUAGAGUAAAGUAGGGGUAGAGGGAAUUCCCAGUGUAGCGGUGAAAUGCGUAGAGAUUGGGAAGAACACCGGUGGCGAAAGCGCUCUACUGGACUUAAACUGACACUGAGGGACGAAAGCUAGGGGAGCG
rnacentral:rRNA from 1 species